CAUAAUAGUUAUGCAUAAAACAUUUUUAGAGCUCCUUUGAUUCAAGGGAAUUUAUAGAAAUUUUAGAGGAUUUAUGUCCUUGGGGAUCUUUCCUGCGUUGGCAGGUUGAUUCACAUGAUUACAAUUCUUUGGAAUUUUCCUUUGGAUUCAUUUCCAUUCUAUUUUGGAGAAAAAAAAAUCAUUCGCUCAAUCCUUCAUUAAGAAAUGUCAGCGGUUUCCUAUGUGGAUGUGCUAAAGCACAUCUACAUGUGACUUAAUUACCGGUCGUUGAUUUUACUCGAAGAUUCAUAUACAUAUUUGACGAUUUUUAAGUUUGAUUUUUUUAGAGAACGUCGACAUUUAUUGAUCAAGCAACAAAGUUAUAAAUAGUCUCCCGGAUACAAUCCGGAAGAGAAUGAAAGAAAUAAAGACUAAACGUGGUCAAACCUGAU
rnacentral:lncRNA from 1 species